rnacentral:lncRNA from 1 species
UGUAUUUUGAUAAUUUUUCAUCAAAAUUUUAAAUUUUUUAGAUAAUUAUGACACAUUGCUAGAUAUCAAUCUUGACUUAUAGAUUUAUUAGAAUUAAAAGAGUUUAAUUUUAAAGAUAAUUUGGAGGAGUCCAAGUUGAUUGGGACUCUUCGGGUGACCUAAUCUCAUCGGAUUAUGGUUACGUCGAAAGUCUUAGUCUACUACUAGCUAGAUUUGGAACCCAAUGGAUCACACACUUUGAAAUUUAAUCUUGAUUUGAUCUAAUUAGAGUUUAAUCUAAAUUUUAUAGAUUAAUUUGAUAUGCUAGCACAUUGUAUUAACCCAAGUUCCCAAAUUGGUUUAGAUCAAAGUGUUUGAGCUAAUCUACACCAGUUGGCUUUGACCUAAUGAGAUUGGGUCAAUUUGGAUUGGAUCCUUAUCCAACUUGAAAGAGUUUCAAGUGGAGAAGGAGUCUUAUGCGCCCACAAGAACUCACGGCAAAAAUAAAUGCUGCCUCCUUUAUUUUAGGCAUGUGAAAGGAAGAGUCCUUAAUGAGGACUCUUAAUUUUCUAUGCAUUACCUCAAAUUCCCGACUAGAAAUCCUAUGUUUCGAUGCCAAAAUUUAUUAAUUUUUUUAUAACAUAUAGAAGACUAAGAGUCCUUCUGCUUCAAGUAACUAGAUCAUCAAAAAUUCACUUUGUAAAUUUAUUUGGUGCAUGGGAAGUUGGAGCGCCAAAGGUUGGCACCCCUUCAUUCCAUAUGACGUCCCCUGGUCCCCUAUUUAUAGGGGAUGCCCCACAUAGCUUCUGGUGGUGAUUUUUGGCUAAAACCAAGAAAAGGGACAUGAUAAACAUAGAAAAAAUUCUAAAAAAUUUUGAGAAAAAGAAAAGAGAGAAUUUUGAGCGGCAAAAGUUGCUACAAGAUUGGUAAGAUUUUCAGUAAGUGUUGCUUAAGUGCCCUAGGAUUUGAUUUUUUCAUAUAUUGAAGCCAAAAAUUAAAUCCUAAGUUGUAUGACAUCUAAAGAAUAUCUUCUUGAAAUCAUUUUGGUGGUGAGAUCAAAAGCAACUGAACUUUGGUACGAUCGUGAUGCAAAUUUGAAGCCAGUAGUAUUCUUGAGAAGACAAGACAGCAGCAGCGCACC